ensembl:lncRNA
CUGAUCAGUGUACCUGCUGAGACACACAGAGAAACACACGGUUCAUCAACUACUAGGACCCAUGAGGACCUCUGAACCCUGCACAGCUGAAUGGAUCUGACCCCUGGAUGACACUACUAGAAACAACUAGGUCUAUCUGGUGAGACAGGGAGGGGACCAGGUGUGUUACCUGGUGAGACAGCAGACACGGAGGGGACAGGGUACCAAGUGUGUUACCUGGUGAGACACGGAGGGGACAGGGUACCAAGUGUGUUACCUGGUGAGACAGGGAGGGGACAGGGUACCAGGUGUGUUACCUGGUGAGACAGGGAGGGGACAGGGUCCCAGGUGUGUUACCUGGUGAGACAGCAGACAGGGAGGGGACAGGGUCCCAGGUGUGGUAGGGGUGGUGUGUGUGUACGUUGUCUCUCUUCGACACCAUGGCCUGGAUCUCUCUCUCCACGGCUCCUCUGAUCACUGACAACUUCCUGCCAAACCUGAAGGGAAGACAAGACCACCGCAAUGUCAGGAAUAACUAGUUCUCCUGUCAAUAUGAAUUUAGUAUGAGAGGAAAAGCCAUUCUACAAAGUGACACAAUCUGAAGUCUGUGGUAUUUUAGGCUUUUGUUGCUUGGUGUGGGUGUGUAUAAUGGGGUAGCCUGAUAAUUGGGUCAGAUUUACAGACAGAGCCCAGAACCCAGAACCCAGAGACCAGAGCCCAGAGACCAGAGCCCAGCACCCAGAGACCAGAACCCAGCACCCAGAGACCAGAACCCAG